rnacentral:rRNA from 1 species
GACGAACGCUGGCGGCGUGCUUAACACAUGCAAGUCGAACGGAGAGGCCCUGCUUGCUGGGUACUCGAGUGGCGAACGGGUGAGUAACACGUGUGUGAUCUCCCCUUCACUUCGGGAUAAGCCUUCGAAACUGGGUCUAAUACCGCAUAGGAGCCAUUCUUAGCGUGAUGGUUGGAUAGUAUUUUUGGUGUAGGAUGAGCUCGCGGCCUAUCAGCUUGUUGGUGGGGUAGUGGGCUACCAAGGCGGCGACGGGCAGCCGGCCUGCGCGGGUGGACGGCCACAAUGGGGAUGAGGUUCCGGCCCGGAUCCUAAGGGGGGCAAGAGUGGGGAAUAUUGGCCCAAGGGAGCCAGGCUGAUGGAAGGAAGCCGCGUGGGGGAUGACGGGCCUCCGGUUGUAAACUCAUUUCGCUAGGGACGAAGCUUUGUGUGACGGUACCGAGAUAAGAAGCACCGGCUAACUACGUG